rnacentral:rRNA from 1 species
GAUGAACGCUGGCGGCGUGCUUAACACAUGCAAGUCGAACGGAAAGGCCCAAGCUUGCUUGGGUACUCGAGUGGCGAACGGGUGCGUAACACGUGGGUGAUCUGCCCUGCACUUCGGGAUAAGCCUGGGAAACUGGGCUUAAUACCGGAUAGGACGAUGGUUUGGAUGCCAUUGUGGAAAGUUUUUUCGGUGUGGGAUCAGCUCGGGGCCUAUCAGCUUGUUGGUGGGGUAAUGGCCUACCCAGGCGUCGACGGGUAGCCGGCCUGCGAGGGUGUACGGACGCAUUGGAACCGUGAGACGGGCCAGAGUGCGACAGGAGGCAGCAUGGGGGAAUAUUGGACCAUGGGCGCAAGCGUGAGGCAGGGAGGCCGCGUGGGGGAUGACGGCCUUCGGGGUGAAAACACCGCUCGCUAGGGACGAAGCGUUUUGUGACGGUACCUGGAGGAGAAGCACCCGCUAACUACGUGC